AGUGAACGCUGGCGGUAGGCCUAACACAUGCGAGUCGAACGGCAGCACAGUAAGAGCUUGCUCUUACGGGUGGCGAGUGGCGGACGGGUGAGGAAUACAUCGGAAUCUACUUUUUCGUGGGGGAUAACGUAGGGAAACUUACGCUAAUACCGCAUACGACCUACGGGUGAAAGCAGGGGAUCUUCGGACCUUGCGCGAUUGAAUGAGCCGAUGUCGGAUUAGCUAGUUGGCGGGGUAAAGGCCCACCAAGGCGACGAUCCGUAGCUGGUCUGAGAGGAUGAUCAGCCACACUGGAACUGAGACGCGGUCCAGGCUCCUACGGGAGGCAGCAGUGGGGAAUAUUGGACAAUGGGCGCAAGCCUGAUCCAGCCAUACCGCGUGGGUGAAGAAGGCCUUCGGGUUGUAAAGCCCUUUUGUUGGGAAAGAAAAGCAGCAGGUUAAUACCCCGCUGUUCUGACGGUACCCAAAGAAUAAGCACCGGCUAACUUCGUG
rnacentral:rRNA from 1 species